UACGGAGGGUGCAAGCGUUGUUCGGAAUUACUGGGCGUAAAGCGCGUGUAGGCGGCUUGGCAAGUCGGGUGUGAAAUCCCGGGGCUCAACCCCGGAACUGCAUUCGAAACUGCCUGGCUGGAGUCCCGGAGAGGGUGGUGGAAUUCCCAGUGUAGAGGUGAAAUUCGUAGAUAUUGGGAGGAACACCAGUGGCGAAGGCGGCCACCUGGACGGUGACUGACGCUGAGACGCGAAAGUGUGGGGAGCAAACAGG
rnacentral:rRNA from 1 species